ensembl:antisense_RNA F53F4.25 ncRNA
AUGUCCAAGCGUUUAUUUAAGAGCAGCUUGCAAACCGAAUCCAGGUCCAGCAGCUGGUUUACGUCCUGCUUUAAGAUCGUCAAGAAUCUCGUUCACAUCCUGAAAACUAACAUAAU